rnacentral:rRNA from 1 species
CGGAGGAUCCGAGCGUUAUCCGGAUUUAUUGGGUUUAAAGGGUGCGUAGGCGGCCUAUUAAGUCAGGGUGAAAUACGGUGGCUCAACCAUCGCAGUGCCUUUGAUACUGAUGGGCUUGAAUCCAUUUGAAGUGGGCGGAAUAAGACAAGUAGCGGUGAAAUGCAUAGAUAUGUCUUAGAACUCCGAUUGCGAAGGCAGCUCACUAAGCUGGUAUUGACGCUGAUGCACGAAAGCGUGGGAUCGAACAGGAUU